rnacentral:rRNA from 1 species
GAUGAACGCUGACAGAAUGCUUAACACAUGCAAGUCAACUUGAACUUCGGUUUGGGUGGCGGACGGGUGAGUAACGCGUAAAGAACUUGCCUCACAGAUAGGGACAACAUUUGGAAACGAAUGCUAAUACCUGAUAUUAUGAUUUUAGGGCAUCCUAGGAUUAUGAAAGCUAUAUGCGCUGUGAGAGAGCUUUGCGUCCCAUUAGCUAGUUGGAGAGGUAACGGCUCACCAAGGCGAUGAUGGGUAGCCGGCCUGAGAGGGUGAUCGGCCACAAGGGGACUGAGACACGGCCCUUACUCCUACGGGAGGCAGGAGUGGGGAAUAUUGGACAAUGGACCAAGAGUCUGAUCCAGCAAUUCUGUGUGCACGAUGAAGUUUUUCGGAAUGUAAAGUGCUUUCAGUUGGGAAGAAAAAAAUGACGGUACCAACAGAAGAAGUGACGGCUAAAUACGUG